rnacentral:rRNA from 1 species
AGAGUUUGAUCAUGGCUCAGGACGAACGCUGGCGGCAGGCUUAACACAUGCAAGUCGAGCGGGCGUAGCAAUACGGGAGCGGCAGACGGGAGAGUAACACGUGGGAACGUACCCUUCGGUUCGGAAUAACCCAGGGAAACUUGGGCUAAUACCGGAUACGUCCGUAAGGAGAAAGAUUUAUCGCCGGAGGAUCGGCCCGC